GAUAAAACCUAGCUAGAUAAUUAAUCCAUUACUAGUGAGACAAAGCAUCCUUAAUGCGCAAUAAAUCCCCUAUGAGACCAUUUGAAGGAAAAAGGACGGAACACUCAAUUACUCAAUUUCAGCAAUAUCUCACAAGUUUCUAGGUUGACACAGUAGAGAAGAAAGUGAAGGGCAAAGCACAGGUAAUUUCAACAAUAGAGAAUUGAGAAAUUUCGACAAUACAUACCAAAUGGAGGGGAAGACAUCUUUUUUUUUUCCUAUUAAAAAAUGACACUCUUUUACAACAGAAAAAUUUAUUACACAAUUUCAGUAAACAAAUGUCAUGAGAAAAAAAGAAAAAAAAAAAACUUAAUGCACAAUCCCCUUCGAGAGACUGUUUGAAGGAAAAGGACGGAACACAAAUACUUUCCGGCAAAAUCUACCUUCAAUUUUCUGACAGAAGACCAUCGGUAAAACUGGAACCUCUGAUAAUAAAUUAAUUGGCGACAAAUCAAAUUGAGCAUAUCUGUUUCAAAAAAAAAAAA